CGGUCGGCACGCACACAUUACAUUGCGUUUGUGUGCGUUGACAGAAGUCAAACUAAAACAAAAAGUAUUAUUGUGUUGCUGCCGACCACUGUUACAAACGCGUUGUGCCGGGUCGCAGUUUGACAUGAUCGUUCAUGUUCUAUUACAUACGUGAUCCGGUGUUUCUUGCGAAUCAUGUCCGCUUUAAGUCCGUUUGCGAGACUUUGGUCGUCGCUCGGUUUUUGACCGGAAAACAAAAGGUGAAGCGGAGAUUGAAAUAAAUUAUGACUCUGUCAAACGCACUUUGCAAAGAAAAAGACAGCCUUUCUUGCCAAAGCCUCCAUCUUCUGCAGAGAAUGUUCUGGAAGCUUUUCAAGACGAAAAUAUUAUGAACCGUUUUGGAAUAACCAAGGGUAAUACUGCAAAUCAGUUCUAUAAAAAAGUGUACGCAUCGAGCUCGUUUGCUUAUUGCAUAUUUUCAUCAGACAAGGUAAUACCCUUAAUGCAAGCCAACAUUCCGGAGCAUAAUAGGCAUUAUUUAAUUGAUGCUACAUUUAAAGUGUGCCCUUUUGGAGAUUUUAAGCAACUUUUAAUAAUUUAUAUUAAAUAUUUGCAGAAGGUAAAUUUCUUCUUAUGCUACACUUUAUUUACUAACUCUAAUCAAAAAUUUUUUUUAAUUAGAGAACCCCUUUUGUUUUUGUUUUGAUGACUCGCAAAACGGAGCUUUGUUAUCAGCACUUAUUCACAUAUAUAGACUCGAACAUUUGCUGCCUUAAAGGAGCAUCCUUUAUAUCAGAUUACGAAAAGGCAAUGCGUAACGCGUUAAAAGGUCUGCAUCCCAACAUGAAUUUUUACGCCUGUUGGUUUCAUUUUACUCAAGCAUGCAAGAAAAAUCGAGUGGUUUUGAAAAUACGCUGAAAUGCAAUAAGAAAGCUUACAUGCUAUUUAUGAAAUUUUUGCACUUGCCGCUUUUACCAGAAAGCAAAAUUGUCGAAGCAUUUAACCUUCUAAAAGGCGAAGCAAUAAACUUAAAUAAGAAGCUGUUUUCUCCAUUUUUAAAAUAUUUUAAUAGACAGUGGCUUAAAAAGGAGGGACCAAAAAGCAUAUCCGUGUUUAAGAGGUCAACUAGAACCACGAUCUCAGUAGAAGCUUAUA